AGAGUUUGAUCAUGGCUCAGGAUGAACGCUGACAGAAUGCUUAACACAUGCAAGUCUUUGGCAAAGCUGUGCUUGCACAGCCAAGCCAAGGCGGACGGGUGAGUAACGCGUAAAGAACUUGCCCCGCAGACAGGGAUAACAGACGGAAACGACUGAUAAAACCUGAUAUAAUUGCCGGUACUGUGCCCGGCAAUGAAAGGAGAUGCUGCGGGAGAGCUUUGCGUCCUAUUAGCUGGUUGGCGGGGUAACGGCCCACCAAGGCGAUGAUAGGUAGCCGGCCUGAGAGGGUGAACGGCCACAAGGGGACUGAGAUACGGCCCUUACUCCUACGGGAGGCAGCAGUGGGGAAUAUUGGACAAUGGGGGCAACCCUGAUCCAGCAAUUCUGUGUGCACGAAGAAGGUUUUCGGAUUGUAAAGCUCUAUCAGCAGGGAAGAAAAUGACGGUACCUGACUAAGAAGCCCCGGCUAACUACGUGCCAGCAGCCGCGGU
rnacentral:rRNA from 1 species